GACGAACGCUGGCGGCGUGCCUAAUACAUGCAAGUAGAACGCUGAAGGAGGAGCUUGCUUCUCUGGAUGAGUUGCGAACGGGUGAGUAACGCGUAGGUAACCUGCCUGGUAGCGGGGGAUAACUAUUGGAAACGAUAGCUAAUACUGCAUAAGAGUAGAUGUUGCAUGACAUUUGCUUAAAAGGUGCAAUUGCAUCACUACCAGAUGGACCUGCGUUGUAUUAGCUAGUUGGUGGGGUAACGGCUCACCAAGGCGACGAUACAUAGCCGACCUGAGAGGGUGAUCGGCCACACUGGGACUGAGACACGGCCCAGACUCCUACGGGAGGCAGCAGUAGGGAAUCUUCGGCAAUGGACGGAAGUCUGACCGAGCAACGCCGCGUGAGUGAAGGAGGUUUUCGGAUCGUAAAGCUCUGUUGUAAGAGAAGAACGAGUGUGAGAGUGGAAAGUUCACACUGUGACGGUAGCUUACCAGAAAGGGACGGCUAACUACGUG
rnacentral:rRNA from 1 species